ensembl:lncRNA
AUUCUGGAGCUAUGUCCAAACAGCAGGAAUCAGAGUCGUCUAAACCAGAGUGCAGUGGAAAGAGCCAUCUGCAGUUGGAAGACAAAGAACACUGCCUUAAUGAAGAUGACAACACCGGUAAGCAGGAGGCUAGCCGAUUAUUGGACCAAACCAAAUCAUUUCUUCACCUGCAAGAUGUUCUUCAAGAGGAUGCCGUUAAUGCUGAUGAUAGAAACUCUUGCCAAAGCGUAAGUGAGGAGAAAAGAA